AUAACAAGUUGUUGCCAGGAAAUUCAGGGUCUGGGGGUCCACAGCCCCCAACAGGAUUCCAUCAAAAUGAAUAAAGCUUCGGUUUGAAAGAGAGAAAUCUCUUGAAGAGAAAUGAUGGCCCAUCCACAGAGGUGACAACCAAUCAGGUGGGAAGGAAACCUCUACGGGCUGGGGCAGGGUUCUGUUCUUGUCUUUGCAGGAAAACACUCAUCUUCAGAAAGUCAAGAGACCCUGGACAUCUGGAUGUCUACAGAGGAAGAGAUAAUUAUCCAGAUAGGAUCACCAAGCAAAGAGGACGCUUAUGAGGACAGGGCAUCCGAGGAUGGUUCUUCUAAUGGAAGAGCAGCAUAUAUUAUUGAUGGUAAAGGAUAUGGAGCGCAAACAGACCCAGACUCAGCUCCAAUAGUUGAACUAGUUCUUCAAGUCAUCAAGACUGUCCACUGUACUGGAACUAGUAAUUGUCAAAUUAAAAUACAGCUCCAGCAAAUUCAAGAUGCCAUUUAUCAAAGAAAAUUGCCAUGCUUUGUGGGUCAUAUGAGUGCACAUUCAAAUCUCCCUGGUCCUUUGGCUGAAGGAAGAGAAUGAAGCUCGGUGGUUUCCUGAAAGUUUGGUGCAGUGUGUGAAACAAAAGAGUGCCAACCCUGAUGAUGUCAUGGAUGCCAAGGUCCACCUCCCAGGAGAGUUGCACUGAAAUUGCUGAACCUGUCUUCCUGACCCUCUGAUGCCAUCAUUCUGCAGUCUGAAAAGGAAAGGAGGUUAUCGGAAUGGUUGGUGAUAACCAACUUCCUGAUAGACCUGCUGCACAGAAUUCUAGACCUCCGUGAAUCCUGUUUGCUUUGGAGCUGGCCCAGAAACGCUGACUGAAUGUUUGGCCUUCUAUCUGCAAAAUAUCGCGGGAUGCAGACGUUACCUUUGACAGUAUGGUGUUCAAUCUGCUCUUGAAAUAGAGGACUUGGAGAACUGAGACCUCAGAAAUUUCUCCUCUUGGGGAAAAAGACUUGUUAAAGCAAUAAAAUACUGUUAUGAAGGCAACGUGUGACUAAAGCCCCUUUAGUAUUUUGAGGAGGAGUAGUGUAAAAGUUUUUGCUGCUACUCAGGGACUGGAACAGUUCAAACAUAUCUUUGGAAGUUUGGUAGCAGUAAUGCAAUUGACUAUAGGAGAGGAAAAAGACUCA